GACGAACGCUGGCGGCGCGCCUAACACAUGCAAGUCGAACGAGCGAGAGAGAGCCUGCUUUCUCGAGCGAGUGGCGAACGGGUGAGUAACGCGUGAGGAGCCUGCCUCAAAGAGGGGGACAACAGUUGGAAACGACUGCUAAUACCGCAUAAGCCCACAGCUCGGCAUCGAGCAGAGGGAAAAGGAGUGAUCCGCUUUGAGAUGGCCUCGCGUCCGAUUAGCUAGUUGGUGAGGUAACGGCCCACCAAGGCGACGAUCGGUAGCCGGACUGAGAGGUUGAACGGCCACAUUGGGACUGAGACACGGCCCAGACUCCUACGGGAGGCAGCAGUGGGGAAUAUUGCACAAUGGGGGAAACCCUGAUGCAGCGACGCCGCGUGGAGGAAGAAGGUCUUCGGAUUGUAAACUCCUGUUGUUGAGGAAGGUAAUGACGGUACUCAACAAGGAAGUGACGGCUAACUACGUGCCAGCAGCCGCGGUAA
rnacentral:rRNA from 1 species